GCCAACGUGGUAUAGUGGUUUGAGCACUGGACUACAAAUCUGGAGAUCUGGGUUCAAUUCCCUGCUUUGCCA